rnacentral:rRNA from 1 species
UACGUAGGGUGCAAGCGUUGUCCGGAAUUACUGGACGUAAAGCGCACGUAGGCGGAAUGUUAAGUCAGGGGUGAAAUCCCGGGGCUCAACCCCGGAACUGCCUUUGAUACUGGCAUUCUCGAGUCCGGAAGAGGUGAGUGGAAUUCCGAGUGUAGAGGUGAAAUUCGUAGAUAUUCGGAGGAACACCAGUGGCGAAGGCGGCUCACUGGUCCGGUACUGACGCUGAGGUGCGAAAGCGUGGGGAGCAAACAGG